rnacentral:sRNA from 1 species
CCAUAGCCCCGAUAGAAGCGGCAUCCUUUUUUGCUUUCUCUACAAAUAUUCCUUUGAAGACCAAACGUUGUGAAGCAAAAAAGAUAUAGCGGAUAGCGGAAUCAGCU